rnacentral:rRNA from 1 species
CGCUGGCGGCGUGCUUACACAUGCAAGUCGAACGGGAUCCCUGGCAGCUUGCUGCCGGGGUGAGAGUGGCGAACGGGUGAGUAAUGCGUGACCGACCUGCCCCAUGCACCGGAAUAGCUCCUGGAAACGGGUGGUAAUGCCGGAUGUUCCACAUGAGCGCAUGCGAGUGUGGGAAAGGCUUUUUGCGGCAUGGGAUGGGGUCGCGUCCUAUCAGCUUGUUGGUGGGGUAACGGCCUACCAAGGCGUUGACGGGUAGCCGGCCUGAGAGGGCGACCGGCCACAUUGGGACUGAGAUACGGCCCAGACUCCUACGGGAGGCAGCAGUGGGGAAUAUUGCACAAUGGGCGCAAGCCUGAUGCAGCGACGCCGCGUGCGGGAUGGAGGCCUUCGGGUUGUAAACCGCUUUUGUUCAAGGGCAAGGCACGGUCUUUGGCCGUGUUGAGUGGAUUGUUCGAAUAAGCACCGGCUAACUUCGUGCCAGCAGCCGCGG